ACUAAAACUACAAUUCCCAGGAAGCCCAGCGGCGCAGAUCGCGCUGUGUGGCGGGAGUGCCCUCUGAAGUUCCGCCUUCUUCAGCUGGUGAUGGGAGCUUUCCGCGGAUGGGUAUGGCGGUGAGAGUUCAUUUAAAGCGUCGUCGCCACAGAAAGCGGCUUAGAGACUUAGUCGCCACAGAAAGAGGCAUUUCGCCGUGAGAUGCUGUGCGCCUGACAGAUGCAUCUGUCAUAAAUUGUUGGCACCUGGAUGACUAAAUCUUCAAGUAAAUCAAGAUCACAAGCCAAAAAGUAACAUAGGAAAUAAAAAGGACUGGAUCAUUUUACAGUUUUACUCAGUUUGAUUGCAGAAGUCUAUGUAGG